UGACCACGCUAAGCACAUGGUCAAAUACAAAGCACUUACAUGUGCUCUUUACACUAAGCCAGCACACUAAGAGUACGCUGCGCCAGACGAAUUUUGUCACCAUAAUCAUACAGCCUUUCCCAGACAAAGUUCCAGAGCACGAGCCACAAAGGGCAGAGCCUUUCCGAAACGCUUUGAUGACCUGGCCCGUUCCGGGAAGGUGGGGCUGCUCUGCACAGAGGCGGCAACAGCACCGUUUCUUCGAAUUUCGGUUACUUCAUAUUUCAUCGCGGACACUAUUUGUUUUGGUAAAGAUCCGCUGCUCCGAGAAUUGCAGGGAGAGCUGCUGACGGCCGACUCGACACCAAGCCCGGGCAAGCUUGGGGCAGUAACCGAGCGAGCAGGAAUCGCUUGUUAGAGCGAUGCAGCCGGUGCGUGCCCGCACUCUCCCGAUGGGUGGUGCUGCGGGGACAGCGCUUGGUGGCCCUGCCCGACAAGCCGCCACCUCCCCCCGAGCCCCUUGGCUCCAGCCCCCGGGACCAGAGCGGGAUGAGGGGGUGCUGCUGCUGCUGCUGCUGCUGCUGCUGCUCUCCGAAGGGUUAAAAGCCUUCGAGCCCCAUGCGCAGGAGGCGUCUGGGCAGUGUGGGGGAGAAAUGCAGAAAAACAGAUCACCAGAACAGCAGAGAAAUUCAUAGUUGUCUGAGUCACACUGGCUGUAGCAGAUUUGCUGUUUCUUCAGUCCCAGUUUCUUUUGUGGAUUGAAACAUCAGAAAAAGGUAAGAAAGCCUGCCAGUGAUACAGAAGACCUGGGCUCACCAUCACGUGUGAUGAUGUAAAAGCCA
rnacentral:lncRNA from 1 species